UACGGAGGAUCCGAGCGUUAUCCGGAAUUACUGGGCGUAAAGAGUUGCGUAGGUGGCAGAGUAAGUAGAUAGUGAAAGCGUGUGGCUCAACCAUAUACACAUUAUCUAAACUGCUCAGCUAGAGAAUGAGAGAGGUCGCUAGAAUUUCUGGUGUAGGGGUGAAAUCCGUAGAUAUCAGAAGGAAUACCGAUGGCGUAGGCAGGCGACUGGCUCAUUUCUGACACUGAGGCACGAAAGCGUGGGGAGCGAU
rnacentral:rRNA from 1 species